rnacentral:sRNA from 1 species
GUCCCUGAAACAGCAGGGACCGAGUUUGGCGACUCGAUUAACAACGGCGGACAGCCGCCACACGCGGCAUUUUU